UGACCUGCGGAAGGAUCAUUACCGUUCCAUACAAAACCAUGAGGCGAACAACUUUCGCACCUCAUACACUGUGAACUUUACCAAACUUUUAGGGGUAGGCUUUUACAAAUCUUUAAAUGGAAGUCUGGUGGCAAGUUUUUUUGGCUUGCUUACCGUUCCGGCCCCGUUUGUGUUUUAAGUUCAAUCGACUUGUUUGAGACUGUAAGUGAGGAAAAGCAAAACAAAACAAGAGACAACUUUUAACGGUGGAUCUCUUGGCUCGUGCAUCGAUGAAGAACGCAGCCAGCUGCGAUAAGUAGUGUGAAUUGCAGAAUUCAGUGAAUCAUCGAGUCUUUGAACGCAAAUGGCGCUCUUGGGUUCUCCCAGGAGCAUGUCUGUCUGAGUGUCGGUAUACAAACUAUCGCACGCCGCUGCUGCCUGCAUGCAGCGGGCCGGUGCGGCGUUGAGGUGUCGCAGAGACUUCGUUUUUUCUGCGUCCUUUGAAAAGUAGUGACAAAGCCGGUGGGUGGCGUAGAACGCACGCAAUUCCGGAGGCCAAAACACAACGUUCGUCCUCACGGUUGUUUGCGUUGUCUCGCGUGCCA
rnacentral:rRNA from 1 species